rnacentral:snRNA from 1 species
CCAUGAACAACGCAAAUAACAACGUUCGGGUUCUUCCAUCACUUUAAAAGUACCUAGUACGAGGUGCGCUUUCGAGCGUCUGCUCACGACUGCUGGGGACCUGAGGAACGAAAACGGAGAAGAAAGCGAGCAAUCUUGGGUGCGGUGCUCCCCUACCAAAAUGGAGAGGACCGCAAUGAUUGAGCGUACAU